GAAAAAUCAAAAUCAAAAGUGUUCCAUGUUGAAAGUUGAAACCUGGCGCACAAUCUCGAAAAUGGAAGAUUUGAUAACAGAUUUCAGUAAAACCUUAGGUUCAUUCUGCAACCACCUUCAAAGCAGCUGCGACGCUCUCAAGCAAUCCAUUGACCGCCGCCCCAUCCCUCUUGAUUCGGCUUCAUCGACGUUCGUUCAAUGCCUAAACCGCCGCGUUUCAAACUCGACCGCCGACCUCAACCUUCUCGAUUCCAUGUCCUUUGGCACCGUUUCCUUCGAGGAACUCUUAGGUCACUGUUAUCAAAUCUUCAACAAGAACCAAACCGACCUUCUCGAUCUCGAAGAUCGUCUCAAGCCUCUCGGCUACUUCCCUCAACUUGAAAUUGAUGAUGAUGAGGAGGAAGAGGAGGUUUUGGAUUCAAAGGAGAGAUCUUUCGCCGUCACAAAUUCAGUAAUGAAGAGUUUGGAAGAAGAUCCUCUUCUUGAUGAAUCACUGAGUUUGAAGAAUUUUGGGCUUUCUGAUGUUUGUCUUGCCACCUUAGCAUCUCAAGCUAAUCAUAAGGUCGAUGACUCUGAUUUAUCUUUUGGAGAAAACAUGAAGUAUUAUGGUGAUAAAGCAAGCAACACCAAGGGUACAUAUAAGCCUGCUACAGACACCUUUGAAGUAACUAAAGGAGAAGUGGAAAAUGAGCUGCAUCAAGUCGACGCUCCGAGGCCUGCGAUACAAGUAUCCAAGGAUGGAUAUGAAGGUCUUCCUUCUUAUAUGACAAGCCUAGCAUCAUGGGAGGAUCUGCUUGCUGCUGUUGAAAAGAUCAACUCAAGUCUGAGCAAGAAAGAGAAAACAAAAGGAUAUAACUAUUUCCACCAAGAUGAAAUUGAAUCCUUGGACUUGGGUAAUGAAUCCUAGAGUUUCCUUUUAUUGAUUACAAUAAUUCCACUGGCUCAAUAAGAGAACACAUACUGCACUGGCGAGUACUGGUUUUAGGGCCUAAAGGACGAGCUUAUUUGCUGCUACUUGUGCGUAUGAAUCAUCUUGUGGUAGAGACCAUUGACGGGCUGAUUUCUUAUCGAGUCCUGUGAAUAAGAUUCCCAAGUCCGAGCUGAUGCCCAAAUGAGCUUCACCAGUUAUAAACUGGAUAGAAGCGCACAGCGAAAAGGCUUAUCUGCUGGUUUCCAUUAAUAUUUAGUCAAAGAUUAUACCUGUCUUGUCUCAUUUGAUCAAAUCAUAUCAGAAACAAACAGCAGAGUUAGCUUAAAAUUUCUACAAGGACUAGAAUCAUCCAUUUCCCGUUCAUAAUAGCAACUUCAUUUUUGUAAUUCAAGGCAAAGAUCGGCUACUAAUUUUUUU